UGCGGGGUAGACGAAUUAGGCAAAGUCACCAGGUUUUGACCCUGGAGGUAAAUUACCAUUGGAGGUUCGAUCCCUCCCCCCGUAGCAA
rnacentral:tRNA from 1 species